GGUAAACGCUGGCGGCGUGCCUAAAACAUGCAAGUCGAACGGAUAGUCGCAAGAUUAUCAGUGGCAGACGGCUGAGUAACGCGUGGGUGACGUGCCGAUAGGUGGGGAAUAACUGCCCGAAAGGGUGGCUAAUACCGCAUACGUCCACUGAUUCGAUUCAGUGGGGAAAGCUUCGCAAGAGGCGCCAUAGAGCGGCCCGCGUCCGAUUAGCUGGUUGGUGGGGUAACGGCCACCAAGGCGAUGAUCCGUAGCUGGUCUGGAGA
rnacentral:rRNA from 1 species